GUAUGCUCCAGGCCAAACUCACGUAACUAGUCAGAAGAUGCGGCCCACAACUGAACGGAAGACAAGUGUCACAAUCGCACUCUUGCAGUAGUGAGACAAUGAUUAUGUGACAUUUGUUCUAAUCCAAUGAACAAGUCAACCAUGCAAAAUUUAGACUAAACGAACAAUAGCAGUGUAUGCUCGAAUCACGUUUAGAAGAAAUAUUUUAGAAAACUUGAGCGAGGAAAUACAUUAAAAACAAUUUCAAAUAAAGCAAUGUUAUAAACUAAAAGUGAAGAAACAACAACUGGUCACGUUCUCCUAUAGUACAUUUUGGGACAUUUUAGUCCUGAUGGGUGUAGAUAUGAUUUUGAGGACUAAUCAUACACCCCGUAUUGGCACAACAAUAAUAGUAAAGGCCUAUCUAAGAUGAAAGCAAGUAAAACGUGUUUGGAAUGAGCAUGCCACCAUGAACCACAAAUCGUUUACAGGAAUAGCUGAGACAUCUAACAUGCAGCCACAGGCAACAUGCCUCGGCCAAUCAUGACCGCGACAUCUGCCCUUACACAAUUUGUCAAUAUCUCUAUCAACCGGCUCUUCAUAAACUCAACGUUGUAGGAUGAGGCUGACUUUAGGUCUCGCGACGCGCUUCUAGCUGAUCUCAGUAUUGAGGAGUCUUUUCCAACCUACUAGGAGCUAUUGAAAAUCACUUCUCGGUUUGUUAACUCUUCAAGUCUUCUCUGUUGGUGUCUUUCCUACUUUUUUCGCUUGAAACAAUUUCUUCUUUGCAUGACGUCAUACCACCUGCUUUUACUUGAUGUUUUCUUGGUCGGAAUAAUAACAUUUCAAGUUACUUACGUGGACAACAGGGUUAGUCUGUAUCCAUAGGAGCAAUUGGAUCCUAUAUGAUGUCUUCCUAAUCUUGUGGAUAACUUCGACUAGUCCAUAGAAUUUUCGCACCAGUCUUUGGUUCUUGUUGCUUUGAACUCAAAGUUGAUCUAACCUUAACUUAUCAUAACUCUCUAUUUGCUUUGAAAUUAUCGUGGUCGACCCUUCUCUUCAUCCGUCUGGAUGGUAUUUUUGCGUGAACAUGUGUUGCUUUAGUGGUUUGUUUUUGUCUCCCUUCUUCAGUAGAGGUGUUGGCUUGGUGUCUUUGCCAAGCAUUUGAGUGAUCAGUGACAAGAGCCUUUGGAGGUCAAAUAAACCCGACUGUGAACAUGCCAUUUUUCUAUUUGUAGAAUUCAACUAGCUCAGGCUGAGCCGCAUGACAUCUAUUUGUGUGGCAAAAAAGUUUUUGUUGAGGUUGGCACACUUGAGCUCCCCCUUUUCAAAUACAACAAUGGCAGCAAGUGUAGAUUCAUCAUGCCUAAGAUUCUUUCUCAAUUGUACUAUCGUCAUCAUUUUCACCCCUCUUGGUUGAUGGAUGUUUGUCUGAAUGAUCGUUGGGUUAGACUCCGUUACUACUAUGCAUUUUGCUAGGGGCAUGUAAAUGACUUUGUGUUCUAGCAGGAUGUCAAUCCCUGACUAUUUGGGCUCUAGAAUGUUGGAUAUGAAGGCUGACUAUUUAUAGUAAAAAUCUGAUAGAGAUAUAUAUACUAAAUAAUUAUAUAUAGUAGGUGGUUACAUAUAGUGAAGUUAUAUAUAAUAAACUGAAAUCAUAUGUAUACCCAUUGUCAGUGCUUCCUAAAUGUACAUUUCUCAUUCUCCAUAUCCUCUCUUUGCAUACCUGAAGUCAUUAAUACAAAACCAUUAGUCAAUAUUUCUUCUUACAUAUUCUCUAUCAUGUUUUUUGUGUUCAUUUAGAUCAAGUGUGUGCGUUGUUGUGUUAUUCUAAUAACUGGUAUCAGAGCGAGGAGAGAUUCACCACGAUCUGUGAAGAUGGAAAGUUCAAAGACUGGAAUUGAAAAGUUUGAUGGAUUCGAUAUCAGUUUCUAGAAGAUGCAGAUUGAAGAUUAUCUAUACGAGAAAGAUAUUCAGGAACCCAUUUUGGGGGUGAAGCUGGAUACCAUGACCACGGAGGAGUGGAAGCUCAAGGAUUGUCACGCCGUAGGGUUAAUCUGGUUGACGCUGCCAGGGAACCAAAGAAAGUGCGAUUGGAAAUGGUCCAUACAGACGUUUAGGGACCAUCUCCAGUUUCUUCAUUUCUGGUACCAAAAUUUCAUGGAUUAGAGGUCUCGCACUGUGCAACGACAACUCUCUGUUUUCCUAAGGCUAGUCAGAUAUCUCAUGACCACUCUUUUCCUCCUCACCAUAUCUAGACACUAUAACGUUGAUCCAGUAUUGUCUUAUAUAGUUAACGUUCACUC